CCUACGGGAGACAGCAGUGAGGAAUAUUGGUCAAUGGACGCAAGUCUGAACCAGCCAUGCCGCGUGCAGGAUGACGGCUCUAUGAGUUGUAAACUGCUUUUGUACGAGGAUAAACGCAGAUACGCGUAUCUUUCUGAAAGUAUCGUACGAAUAAGGAUCGGCUAACUCCGUGCCAGCAGCCGCGGUAAUACGGAGGAUUCAAGCGUUAUCCGGAUUUAUUGGGUUUAAAGGGUGCGUAGGCGGUCGGAUAAGUUAGAGGUGAAAUCCCGAGGCUCAACUUCGGAAUUGCCUCUGAAACUGUUCGGCUAGAGAGUAGUGGCGGUAGGCGGAAUGUAUGGUGUAGCGGUGAAAUGCUUAGAGAUCAUACAGAACACCGAUUGCGAAGGCAGCUUACCAAGCUACUUCUGACGUUGAGGCACGAAAGCGUGGGGAGCAAACAGGAUUAGAUACCCUAGUAGUC
rnacentral:rRNA from 1 species